rnacentral:rRNA from 1 species
GACGAACGCUGGCGGCGUGCUUAACACAUGCAAGUCGAACGGAAAGGCUCCAGCUUGCUGGAGUGCUCGAGUGGCGAACGGGUGAGAAACACGUGGGCAAUCUGCCCUGCACUCUGGGAUAAGCCUGGGAAACUGGGUCUAAUACCGGAUAGGACCUUUCUCCUCAUGGGGUUUGGCGGACAGUUUUUCGGUGCAGGAUGCGCCCGCGGCCUAUCAGCUUGUUGGUGGGGUAAUGGCCUACCAAGGCGACGACGGGUAGCCGGCCUGAGAGGGUGAUCGGCCACAUGGGGACUGAGAUACGGCCCAGACUCCUACGGGAGGCAGCAGUGGGGAAUAUUGCACAAUGGGCGAAAGCCUGAUGCAGCGACGCCGCGUGAGGGAUGACGGCCUUCGGGUUGUAAACCUCUUUCAGUAGGGACGAAGCGCAAGUGACGGUACCUGCAGAAGAAGCACCGGCUAACUACGUG